AGUAAUGCUUGGGAAUCUGGCUUAUGGAGGGGGAUAACGACGGGAAACUGUCGCUAAUACCGCGUAUUAUCGGAAGAUGAAAGUGCGGGACUGAGAGGCCGCAUGCCAUAGGAUGAGUCCAAGUGGGAUUAGGUAGUUGGUGGGGUAAAGGCCUACCAAGCCUGCGAUCUCUAGCUGGUCUGAGAGGAUGACCAGCCACACUGGAACUGAGACACGGUCCAG
rnacentral:rRNA from 1 species